rnacentral:tRNA from 1 species
GAAGAUAUAGUUUAAGUGGUAGAGCAUGUGCUUAGCAUGCGCAGGGUCCUGGGUUCAGUCCCCAGUACCUCCA